CUACGGGUCGCAGCAGUGAGGAAUUUUGCGCAAUGGGGGAAACCCUGACGCAGCAACGCCGCGUGAGUGAUGAAGGCUUUCGGGUCGUAAAACUCUGUCAAGUGGGAAGAACCUAUCGAGUGCCAAUACCACUCGAUACUGACGGUACCACUGAAGGAAGCACCGGCUAACUCCGUGCCGAGCAGCCGCGGUAAUACAGGGGGUGCAUGCGUUAUUCGGAAUCAUUGGGCGUAAAGGGCGCGUAGGCGGCCUUGUAAGUCAGAUGUGAAAGCCCGGGGCUUAACCCCGGAAGUGCAUUUGAAACUACAAGACUUGAGUAUGGGAGAGGGAAGUGGAAUUCCUGGUGUAGAGGUGAAAUUCGUAGAUAUCAGGAGGAACAUCUGUGGCGAAGGCGACUUCCUGGACCAAUACUGACGCUGAGGCGCGAAGGCGUGGGGAGCAAACAGGAUUAGAUACCCUUGUAGUC
rnacentral:rRNA from 1 species